rnacentral:rRNA from 1 species
CCUGGCCUUGACAUACUAAGAACUUUCCAGAGAUGGAUUGGUGCCUUCGGGAACUUAGAUACAGGUGCUGCAUGGCUGUCGUCAGCUCGUGUCGUGAGAUGUUGGGUUAAGUCCCGCAACGAGCGCAACCCUUUUCCUUAUUUGCCAGCGGGUUAAGCCGGUAACUUUAAGGAUACUGCCAGUGACAAACUGGAGGAAGGCGGGGACGACGUCAAGUCAUCAUGGCCCUUACGGCCAGGGCUACACACGUGCUACAAUGGUCGGUACAAAGGGUUGCUACCUCGCGAGAGGAUGCUAAUCUCAAAAAGCCGAUCGUAGUCCGGAUCGCAGUCUGCAACUCGACUGCGUGAAGUCGGAAUCGCUAGUAAUCGCGGAUCAGAAUGCCGCGGUGAAUACGUUCCCGGGCCUUGUACACACCGCCCGUCACACCAUGGGAGUUUGUUGCACCAGAAGUAGGUAGUCUAACCGCAAGGAGGACGCUUACCACGGUGUGGCCGAUGACUGGGGUGAAGUCGUAACAAGGUAAGCGUAGAUGA